rnacentral:rRNA from 1 species
UUGGGAGCUCUCCCAUAUGGUCGACCUGCAGGCGGCCGCGAAUUCACUAGUGAUUCGUAUUACCGCGGCUGCUGGCACGUAGUUAGCAGGUCCUUAUUCAUUAGUUACCGUCAUAAUCGUCACUAUUAAAAGCAGUUUACGACCCUAAGGCAUUCAUCCUGCACGCGGCGUUGCUCCAUCAGACUUUCGUCCAUUGUGGAAAAUUCCCUACUGCUGCCUCCCGUAGGAGUCUGGGCCGUUCUCAGUCCCAGUCUGGCUGAUCAUCCUCUCAGACCAGCUAAUGGUCAUCGUCUUGGUGAGCCAUUACCUCACCAACUAACUAAUCAUGCGCAGGCCGUUCCCAAAGCGCCCGAAGGCUUUAAUCCGGAGAUCACAUGCGGUAUUAGCUACUCUUUCGAGCAGUUAUCCCUCACUUUGGGGUACGUUCCUACGUGUUACUCAGCCGUCCGCCGCUCGUGUACCCCCGAAGGGGCCUUACCGCUCGACUUGCAUGUAUUAGGCACGCCGCCAGCGUUCAUCCUGAGCCAUGAUCAAACUCUAAUCGAAUUCCCGCGGCCGCCAUGGCGGCCGGGAGCAUGCGAC